ensembl:lncRNA
ACAGGAGGCCUUCCUUCUGUCUUUGGCUCAGGUUACUCUACUUAUGGGCUUCCCUGCUGUCUCAGUGGUAAAGACUCUGCCUGCAAUGCAGGAGAUGCAGGUUCCCUGGGUUGGGAAGAUCCUCUGGAGAAGGGACCAGCAACCCACUCCAGUAUUCUUGCCUGGAAAAUCCCGACAGAGGAGCCUGGUGGGCUACAGUCUAUAGCAAAGAGUUGGACACAGCUGAAGUGACUGAGCACGUGCUCUACUUAAAACCUUCUUGUCUUUCGAGUUGACUGUUUUCUCCUUCACUUUUCUGCCCUGGGUCCAUGAGAGUCUAUGCUAGAUUCCAGAUGUGGCUUCUCUAGAAUAUGAAAACUCCCAGCACCCCUGGGAGGCACCCCCCAUCUAUGAGGAAGUUGAUCACCCAACAGUACCUUCCCCUGUACAUGCUCCAGGCCCAGCCCCCACUCCUGUUGCUCCCACUUUGGGUUCACCAUCCUGGAAAAGGUUCAGGGUGGUGAUGGAGUUAAUGCAAUCCAAUCGGAACCUGUGAGGAAGAGCUUGGCACUAGUAUAAACUUCCCCACUGCCAGGGCGGCCCUGGAUAAUUACAAUAUUGUGCUGGUUUCUGCCAUACGUCACCAUGAAUCAGCCACAGGGACAUCUUGAUGUAGACAAGCUCCUGAAACAAAUGUACACUGUGCCAUCACCAGCACGGAUACACUGAAAACACCCUUGCCGGCACAGACCUUCCCUAUAACAAGGGUUAUUUAUGUCCUUGGGUAUGGCCCUAACCCACAAACCUCUGCCUGCUGUCCCUCAGAGUAUCUUAAAAAGGCUAAAUUACAUGUGAAAAGAUGAUCAAUGUCGCUAAUCAUCCGGGAAAUACAAUGAGAUAUCACCUUACACCUGUCAGAAUAGCCAUCAUCAAAAA